AUUAAUAUGAAUUCACUGAUGUGGUCAUGUGCAAAAAAGGCUAAAUGCCUUUAUAAAAAGUUGACUUCUUUUGAAAUUUCAUUAUUUCUUCUGUUGCUUUGAUUGUUAGUGACAUGAAUGGCAUUGUGUCUUACUCUAGCUAAGAUGAGCCUCUAUUGUUCCCAUAUCCCAGGGCCAUCUCCUUGUGGUAGAGAACUUCAACUCCUUUUGUCUGAAUCAUGGUCUGAUGGAGGUUGGAUAUGUUAGCCAUCAAAAAACUGCCUUGCAUCCUCCGUCUUCUGUGCCUGGAGUCGCUGAUGAUGCACAGAACUUGUCCAUUUCAAUGACAGCCACCAUGGACCCAGUGGGGAACCUUGUCCUUGGGAGCAGCCGCCAGUUUUCUGGGUUCAGUACUGUAGUAGAUCAUUCCAUCAUUAACCGCAUAUGGGAUCGUGCCAGGGAGUUCUUUCCUGCUCUGAGAGAAAUAUCGCUAAAUGAUUUUGCUGAGAGCAGAAGAGUGCGGGUGGGAUUGCGGCCUUAUAUGCCUGAUGGGAGGCCAAUCAUUGGGCCUGUUCCUGCUAUACCAAAACUGUUAAUUGCAACGGGACAUGAAGGAGGAGGUCUAUCCCUGGCUCUUGGUACUGCCGAAAUGAUUACUGAUAUGGUGUUGGGCACUAGCCUCAAAGUUGAUUGUGCACCCUUCUCAGUUGAAAAUCGAUUUUCUAAAUGACAUCAGGAAAAGAUAGAAGAACAUGCUGCGGGGAGGUGCUACUGGUUAUCACAAGCUUUUUGCGGAUUGCAGGAGUCCAAACAGUUGGUAACUGCUCUGAUUAUCAAGUAGAGAUACCUGGACAUUAUGUGAGUUGCAUCCUUGAUCUCCAUUCCUCAAUUCCCUUGAUCUUUAGGAAUUCACACCUCUAGCUAAAGUUGUGGAGUUUGAUUUCUACGAAGCCAUGGAAUUUGUUUGCCUUAAAAUGGAAAUCUAAUCUUCCCAGCUGAUUGGAUCAUCAUCACCAAAUCAUUGAAAAGGCAAGCCAAUUGCUUUGGAUAUCCAAUCUCCUCCAGAAAGGCAUUGACCUGGAACGAGCCAUGAGAAGGUACACACUUGUGAUGGGUCACAGAAGGGAGUUGCUCCAUUGCAUAUUUUGUUGGUCCACCCAGACCCAUUUUAUGACCUUGUUCGGGUUCAUCUGGAACACCCCUUGUGAGGUCCAAAUAUCACACAAGCUUCUGGCACCCCAGGUAAGAGAAGCAUAUUGAUGUGUUAUGUUUUUCAGUCACUGUUUGAUGGACCCUUGGGAAGAGAGGUUGGAAUCUUCUAAUUCAAUUGCAGACCUAGCUUCUCUCCUCCAGCAUCACAUCACCAUUGGUUAAGAAAUUCUGAAAAAUAUUUUUAGAGAGAGUGAGAGAGAGGGUAGAGAUUAACAGGAGAGAGUGGACGAAAGUUACAAGUCACAUGCCAAUUGUCAUGACUGUAUUAUAGAAAAUGAUUUUUACUCGUGCUAGGAAACUAUCCCGCACCUGCUUACUAUUCAUUUGCCAUGUGGUAGCUAAUGGGGCU